rnacentral:rRNA from 1 species
CCUACGGGAGGCUGCAGUCGAGAAUCAUUCACAAUGGGGGAAACCCUGAUGCUGCGACGCCGCGUGAGGGAAUGAAGGUCUUCGGAUUGUAAACCCCUGUCAUGUGGGAGCAAAUUAAUACGAUAGUACCACAAGCGGAAGAGACGGCGGACUCUGGGCCAGCAGACGCGGUAAUACAGAGGGCUCAAGCGUUGUUCGGAAUCACUGGGCGUAAAGCGGGCGGAGGCUGUAUCGUAAGUCGUGUGUGAACGACGCGGGCUCAACCCGCGGACGGCAGAUGAUACUGCGCGACUAGAGUAAGGGAGAGGGAAGCGGAAUUCUCGGUGUAGCAGUGAAAUGCGUAGAUAUCGAGAGGAACACUCAUGGCGAAGGCGGGUUCCUGGACAUUAACUGACGCUGAGGCACGAAGGCGAGGGGAGCGAAAAGGAUUAGAUACCCCAGUAGUC